CGAUAAUCGUAAUACAUUCAAAAAGUUUUCGGUUGUGAAACUAUAUUUUGACAUUUCGAAGACUCGAGUAGUUUGUGUUACAGCAUUUCAAUUUAUUAUUAAACAAAAGGAGCUGAUAUAAGAGACACGCGUUUCAAAAGAAGCCAAUGACACGACAGUUAUAGAGAAACCAAGCCCAGAUCGUAGUGGAUGGCGGUUAAUUAACAGGAAUUCCACCACCGGAAAACAAUAGAUUCCCUACGGGAAUUAGUCAGCCACGUGCGUUCUACCGAACUUGGUUUGUAACGCGCCGGCGCAAGAUAAAACAAAGUUGUCUCUCAUUGGUUAAACUGCUGGUGACUGACUCAACGCGGACAGAGUGAUAAAUAGCGCUAAUAGUCAUCCCUCGUGGCCAGUCAUGCCAAGUGUCUAGUCGCGUUUACCUGUUGAUCCCGGCAUCUUGUAGCUAUGUGUUCCCUCUUUCUAGUCUUGGCAUGUGUUAUUUUUGCUAAGGCAACGUCCGAGAUUUCCACUCCCGUCCAGGCCAUGGUGAGUAGUCGUGUCCUUGUAAAUAUAUUAAUUUUUUUUUUUUUAACUAGCGAGUAGUUGUCCUUCGGUCACUUUUAUUUUCGCACCAGAAUCAGUCACGGAUUUGUAAUUUUUGCAUACGUAUUGAGAAAUUUUUAAACUGUCCUUUAAAUUAAUUAAAAAUAAAAUAAAAUAAACAACAAAAGCUAAAUUUAUAUUUUAAAAAUUAAUCGACCAAAACCGUUGAUUUAGAGAGAUAAAGUUUUCGGAAAGUUAUCGCCAAAACUUUUCUAUCAGCGCGUUGAUUUAUUGUUUUUUCUCACGAGAUAUUCUAAUAAUUUCGAAGCGUGAAUGCCCAUUUUAAAAAAGGUGUUUAUUUUCUAGAUUCCCUUUAUGUUUGUCAUAAAAACAUUUCGUGUUUUAUAACCACAAUUGCUCCGGUAAGCGUAGGAAGGAAACUGUGAAUCAACGUUGCGAAUGGAUUCGGCCCCCAUCUACCUGUUAGAGGUCAUCUACAAUGACGUCAGCACGUUGAUGUCCUCCGAAUGCUUUUCGUUGACAGAAAAGCCGGAUGCUUACGUAUAAAACAUUAUUUUAGUACUCACUGGAAUAAAGAACGUCCUAAAUAUUGUAUUUAUCGUUAUAAUCAGAUUCUUUUUCAAGGGCAUUUAGCAAGAAAGCGAAAGAGAAAGAGGAAACUCGUAGUGGUCCGAUUAGUUAAUUGGAAUAAGGAGCCAGGUGUGUUAGUGGGGGUGCCACCGUUAUGGCAUCCGGUCAAUGACGUCACUCACUAUGUGACUCAUUGACUUCUGGAGGACGUGCCGGGAGUACCUUGACUUCUGAUAGGUAUCGAAAUGUUUAAAUGAUGAUCCUGACAGCGUUCCAUAAAGCAUCACGAAAAUUCUCAAUGUCAAAAUGCUCACGGGAUACCGAUCCUUGAAAUUAAGCCAAGUAAUAAUUGGAACAAAAGCCACUUAUUAGUUAACCUUGAUACAUACAAUGGAGAGAGAGAGUGUGUGUACAGAGUUGCGACGAUUGCAAGUUAGUGACGGAAAAUCGAAUGCGGUUUGGUAUCGAAUUCUAAUUAUUUUCCGGGUUUUCCUUAAAAUACUAGGGAGGAGUUAUUCUUCAUAGAAUUUUUUGUUUUUAUUUAUAAGAAAAUUUACGUCAUUGGAAAGUUUCCCAUAACCGUAGAAACAAGUUUCGCGCUUUGUUAAUGUAGUCUGCUGCAUUCGAUUCACGUUAAUAAUGGAGGAAGAAAUUACGACUCAUUUAUCCAUUGAUAGAACUACUGUUCGUGAUUUUUUUGCUUUUAUAUCUUACAAAAAUGAUUUUUAAUUAUUCUAUACUAAUUUAGGAAGUUAGAGAUGGACCCUAUUAAGAGAUAACUACAUAAGAACAUUACAUAAGAAAAAAAUCAAAAGUGAAACAUGUGUAGAUGAUUUCCUCUAAACAAUUGAGAUAAGACUAUUCUUUUUAUUUUGAAGAUGUCGUGCGAGACGAGUUUUGUUUCGUUGGCCUUCAGCUGGCCUCGCAGUUUUCUAUAUCUCACAAUUGGAAAGGAAAAGUUUUCUUGAUUUACUAUUGACAUUUUCCUUUAUCAUGUAUAAUUUUUAAUCUCCGAGCCGUUUCUUGUUUUACUUACAUUACAGAUUCCUUAUCUCCUG
rnacentral:lncRNA from 1 species